CGGCGGACGGGUGAGUAACGCGUGGGUAACCGUGCCUCAUACAGGGGAUAACAGUUGGAAACGGCUGCUAAUACCGCAUAAGCGCACAGUACCGCAUGGUACGGUGUGAAAAACUCCGGUGGUAUGAGAUGGACCCGCGUCUGAUUAGGUAGUUGGUGGGGUAACGGCCUACCAAGCCGACGAUCAGUAGCCGACCUGAGAGGGUGACCGGCCACAUUGGGACUGAGACACGGCCCAA
rnacentral:rRNA from 1 species